rnacentral:tRNA from 1 species
GGAGGUAUAGCUCAGUGGUAGAACACGUGCCUAGUAUGCACAAGGUCCUAGGUUUAAUCUCCAGUACCUCCA